rnacentral:rRNA from 1 species
UUUAUCUUAGUGGCGGACGGGUGAGUAACGCGUGGGUAACCUGCCCUGUACAGGGGGAUAACACUUAGAAAUAGGUGCUAAAACCGCAUAAGCGCACAGUACCGCAUGGUACAGUGUGAAAAACUCCGGUGGUACAGGAUGGACCCGCGUCUGAUUAGCUGGUUGGAGGGGUAACGGCCCACCAAGGCGACGAUCAGUAGCCGGCCUGAGAGGGUGAACGGCCACAUUGGGACUGAGACACGGCCCAGACUCCUACGGGAGGCAGCAG